UACGAAGGGUGCGAGCGUUGUUCGGAUUUAUUGGGCGUAAAGCGCGCGCAGGCGGAAUGGUAAGUCAGGUGUGAAAUCUCGGGGCUCAACCCCGAAACUGCGCCUGAAACUAUCACUCUAGAAUCUUGGAGAGGGCAGGGGAAUUUCUUAUGUAGGAGUAAAAUCCGUAGAGAUAAGAAGGAACACCAGAGGCGAAGGCGCCUGCCUGGACGAGUAUUGACGCUGAGGCGCGAAAGCGUGGGGAGCAAACAGG
rnacentral:rRNA from 1 species